UUCUGGAAAGUAAAAAUCGUAACAAGGUUUCCGUAGGUGAACCUGCGGAAGGAUCAUUAUCGAGUUUUUGAACGGGUUGUCUGCUGACUCGCAAGAGUAUGUGCACGCCUGGCUCAUCCACACUCAACUUCUGUGCACUUUUCAUAGGCCGGCUUGUAGGUGGUGCGUUUGCGCACGCCAGGUGGUGCGUUCGCGCACGCCAGGUGGUGAGCUCGCGCACGCCUGUAGGCUUAGGCUUAUGCUUUACUACAAACGAUUCAGUUAUAGAAUGUCUUACUUUGCGAUAACGCAAUUAUAUACAACUUUCAGCAACGGAUCUCUUGGCUCUCGCAUCGAUGAAGAACGCAGCGAAAUGCGAUAAGUAAUGUGAAUUGCAGAAUUCAGUGAAUCAUCGAAUCUUUGAACGCACCUUGCGCUCCUUGGUAUUCCGAGGAGCAUGCCUGUUUGAGUCUCAUGGAAUUCUCAACCUUCAACUUUAUUGAUGAAGGCUUGGACUUGGAGGUCGUGUCGGCUCUCGUAGUCGACUCCUCUGAAAUGCAUUAGUGCGAACGUUACCAGCCGCUUCAGCGUGAUAAUUAUCUGCGUUGCUGCGGACGGUAAGUGAGUGUUCACGCUUCUAAUCGUCUUCGGACAACAUUUCUGAACUCUGAGCUCAAAUCAGGUAGGACUACCCGCUGAACUUAAGCAUAUCAAUAAGCCGGAGGAA
rnacentral:rRNA from 1 species